UACGUAGGGUGCAAGCGUUGUCCGGAAUUAUUGGGCGUAAAGAGCUCGUAGGCGGUUUGUCGCGUCGAAUGUGAAAACCCGGGGCUCAACCCCGGGCCUGCAUUCGAUACGGGCAGACUAGAGUUCGGUAGGGGAGUCUGGAAUUCCUGGUGUAGCGGUGAAAUGCGCAGAUAUCAGGAGGAACACCUGUGGCGAAAGCGGCGCACUGGACCACAACUGACGCUGAGGCGCGAAAGCUAAGGGAGCAAACAGG
rnacentral:rRNA from 1 species